UGAAAUGCGAAACGUAAUGCGAUUUGCAUGAAUCUGUGAGUCAUCAAGUUUUUGAACGCACCUUGCACCAUAUGAGCAAUCGUAUGGUAUACCUGUUUGAGAAUCGUAAAACCCUAUUCCUUCCUAUUCUUUAUGGUGUAGGAGGGAGACUUGUCAGUUGUGCGGGUGGGUAUCCUCCCGUACUCUGAUUAAAGGUAGUAAGUGUGCCUUUGGGCUGGUGGCCCGGGACAUUGUGUGCUAGAGACCGUGUCGCGUGUCUUCUCACAAUGCGUCCUGGGCUAUUCCAAAACUGGUCCUAAGGCCGCUUCCACAGUAGUGUGUGUGUGUAUGGUGCCUCACGGCACUUGCGCCGCGCUCUACAACUCUCACUUUUUGAUCUCAAAUCAGGUAAGGCUACCCG
rnacentral:misc_RNA from 1 species